rnacentral:rRNA from 1 species
CUGAACCAGCCAAGUAGCGUGAAGGAUGACUGCCCUAUGGGUUGUAAACUUCUUUUAUACAGGAAUAAAGUCGGGUAUGCAUACCCGUUUGCAUGUACUUUAUGAAUAAGGAUCGGCUAACUCCGUGCCAGCAGCCGCGGUAAUACGGAGGAUCCGAGCGUUAUCCGGAUUUAUUGGGUUUAAAGGGAGCGUAGGCGGGUUGUUAAGUCAGUUGUGAAAGNUUGCGG